CAUUACUGAGAAGCUGUAUACGACCGUUCAGUGCGAUGGGCUGAAACUGAGGAACUCCAGCACCUGCAGAGAAAACAGUCUGGUUAAACUUGCUCAGUGAGUAACACAGGCGAUCUACAGUGUCUCUGUAGCCAGUCAUCAAAAUGAUCCUACAGAAGUGAUGGGGGCCACUACCAUGGUGACCUAGGAAUUCCAUAUACCCAAUAUAGAGCAAGAAUGAUAACAAACCUUCCAGCACCACCAUGGCACUAUCCUGGGCUGACAUCCGGUCCUUGCGUACAAAGCACUGAGAGCGAUCCUAUCACUUCAGCGCUGCCGUAGGCGUUCCACACCUCACAAACAUACGUCCCGGAAUCGGCCGGCCGGGUGUUCUCGAUGAGCAAGCCAACCACCGUGUUCCGGAAUCUAUUGUCCAUUUC